rnacentral:rRNA from 1 species
UACGUAGGGUCCGAGCGUUGUCCGGAAUUACUGGGCGUAAAGAGCUCGUAGGUGGUUUGUCGCGUUGUUCGUGAAAACUCACAGCUCAACUGUGGGCGUGCAGGCGAUACGGGCAGACUAGAGUACUGCAGGGAGACUGGAAUUCCUGGUGUAGCGGUGGAAUGCGCAGAUAUCAGGAGGAACACCGGUGGCGAAGGCGGGUCUCUGGGCAGUAACUGACGCUGAGGAGCGAAAGCGUGGGGAGCGAACAGG